GACGAACGCUGGCGGCGUGCUUAACACAUGCAAGUCGAACGAUGAAGAAGAGAAACGCGCCCUUCGGUUCAAAUUUCACUUCGGAUUAGUGGCAGACGGGUGAGUAACGCGUGAGCAACCUACCUCUUACAAAGGGAUAGCCUCGGGAAACCGUGAUUAAUACCAUAUGACACAUUCAUAAGGCAUCUUAAGACUGUUAAAGCUACGGCGGUAAGAGAUGGGCUCGCGUCCCAUUAGCUAGUUGGUGAGGUAACGGCCCACCAAGGCGACGAUGGGUAACCGGCCUGAGAGGGUGAACGGUCACAUUGGAACUGAGACACGGUCCAAACUCCUACGGGAGGCAGCAGUGGGGAAUAUUGCACAAUGGAGGGAACUCUGAUGCAGCGACGCCGCGUGAGCGAUGAAGGAAUUCGUUUCGUAAAGCUCUGUUCUAUGGGAAGAAAAGGACUGUACCAUAGGAGAAAGCCCCGGCUAAAUACGUG
rnacentral:rRNA from 1 species